rnacentral:rRNA from 1 species
GACGAACCGUGCAAACGUUGUUCGGAAUCACUGGGCUUAAAGGGCGCGUAGGCGGGUCAUCAAGUCUGUGGUGAAAUCCCCCGGCUCAACCGGGGAACUGCCGUGGAUACUGGUGGCCUCGAGGAUGGUAGGGGCGUGCGGAACGGUUGGUGGAGCGGUGAAAUGCGUUGAUAUCAACCGGAACUCCGGUGGCGAAGGCGGCACGCUGGACCAUUUCUGACGCUGAGGCGCGAAAGCCAGGGGAGCAAACGGG